rnacentral:rRNA from 1 species
GAUGAACGCUGGCGGCGUGCCUAAUACAUGCAAGUCGAGCGAACAGACGAGGAGCUUGCUCCUCUGACGUUAGCGGCGGACGGGUGAGUAACACGUGGAUAACCUACCUAUAAGACUGGGAUAACUUCGGGAAACCGGAGCUAAUACCGGAUAAUAUAUUGAACCGCAUGGUUCAAUAGUGAAAGACGGUUUUGCUGUCACUUAUAGAUUGAUCCGCGCCGCAUUAGCUAGUUGGUAAGGUAACGGCUUACCAAGGCAACGAUGCGUAGCCGACCUGAGAGGGUGAUCGGCCACACUGGAACUGAGACACGGUCCAGACUCCUACGGGAGGCAGCAGUAGGGAAUCUUCCGCAAUGGGCGAAAGCCUGACGGAGCAACGCCGCGUGAGUGAUGAAAGUCUUCGGAUCGUAAAACUCUGUUAUUAGGGAAGAACAAAUGUGUAAGUAACUAUGCACGUCUUGACGGUACCUAAUCAGAAAGCCACGGCUAACUACGUG